rnacentral:rRNA from 1 species
CCUAAGUGGGUGGUAAACUCCAUCUAAGGCUAAAUACAACCACGAGACCGAUAGCACACAAGUACCGUGAGGGAAAGGUGAAAAGAACUUUGAAGAGAGAGUUCAAGAGUACGUGAAACUGAGGUGGUGUAAACGGACGAGAUCGAAAAGUCCGAAUGGGGAGAUUCAAGCCUAUCCGUGCCGGUGGCCGACGGGUACAGAUGGCGCUGACGGCCGGGGCCCCUCGGGGUGCCCGGUGCGGUCAGCGCCACUCGUCCUGGCGGUAUCUGUCUGGUGCGGUGGGCUGCACUUCUCCCCUAGUAGGACGUCGCGACCCGUUGGGAUGUUUCGAUCCAUGGCCCGGGGUGGAGCCCGCGGCGGAGCGGUGGUUUCGGCCGCCGUUGCUGUCCACGGACCCUCGGUGACCUGAUCGGCGCUCGACGGUAUCAAAGCUUGGGAAGGGACCGCACAGAGGUUGCGUCCGAUGCCUCACGGCUACACUCGGACAGGUCCGCACCCGGUCUGCGGCGCUACUGCUUUCGAUACUCGUCCGA